rnacentral:rRNA from 1 species
UACGUAGGGCGCAAGCGUUGUCCGGAAUUAUUGGGCGUAAAGAGCUCGUAGGUGGUUUGUCGCGUUGUUCGUGAAAACCGGGGGCUUAACCCUCGGCGUGCGGGCGAUACGGGCAGACUUGAGUACUGCAGGGGAGACUGGAACUCCUGGUGUAGCGGUGGAAUGCGCAGAUAUCAGGAGGAACACCGGUGGCGAAGGCGGGUCUCUGGGCAGUAACUGACGCUGAGGAGCGAAAGCGUGGGGAGCGAACAGG